rnacentral:rRNA from 1 species
AUACCGCGUGAGGGAGGAAGGCUCUUGGGUUGUAAACCUCUUUUCUCAGGGAAGAAUGAUGACGGUACCUGAGGAAUAAGCAUCGGCUAACUCCGUGCCAGCAGCCGCGGUAAUACGGAGGAUGCAAGCGUUAUCCGGAAUGAUUGGGCGUAAAGCGUCCGCAGGUGGCAAUGUAAGUCUGCUGUCAAAGCGUCUGGCUCAACCAGAUAAAGGCAGUGGAAACUACAUAGCUAGAGUAAGGUAGGGGUAGAGGGAAUUCCUGGUGUAGCGGUGAAAUGCGUAGAGAUCAGGAAGAACACCGGUGGCGAAAGCGCUCUGCUGGACCUUAACUGACACUGAGGGACGAAAGCUAGGGGAGC